UACGAAGGGGGCGAGCGUUGUUCGGAAUUACUGGGCGUAAAGAGCGCGUAGGCGGCGCGGUUAGUCAGGCGUGAAACUCCUGGGCUCAACCCAGGAACUGCGUUUGAUACGGCCGCGCUCGAGGAUGGAAGAGGGCCGCGGAAUUCCCAGUGUAGAGGUGAAAUUCGUAGAUAUUGGGAAGAACACCGGUGGCGAAGGCGGCGGCCUGGUCCAUUACUGACGCUGAGGCGCGACAGCGUGGGGAGCAAACAGG
rnacentral:rRNA from 1 species